UACGUAGGGGGCUAGCGUUGUUCGGAAUUACUGGGCGUAAAGCGCACGUAGGCGGACUGUUAAGUCGGGUGUGAAAUCCUGGGGCUCAACCUCAGAAUUGCCUCCGAUACUGGCAGUCUCGAGUGCGGAAGAGGUGAGUGGAACUGCGAGUGUAGAGGUGAAAUUCGUAGAUAUUCGCAAGAACACCAGUGGCGAAGGCGGCUCACUGGCACGGUACUGACGCUGAGGCACGAAAGCGUGGGGAGCAAACAGG
rnacentral:rRNA from 1 species